UUUUUGUCUUGUUUCGUUUCCGAUUUAAGCUGACUGAAAACUGUAGCCUGCCUUAAAAUGCAUCUAAAUGCUAUGUGGUUAUAAGCAGCAGGUUCCAUAACUCGUCCAUAAUGAGAAUGGAACUUAUCUCGGUCUGCACCUUGGUCUGCACAGGCACUCAGCAGAAGCAGAACAUCUUUAUUGGAAUUGACCGCAACUUAGCAGCUCAUCCUGCUUCCCUUGCCAGUUAUCGAGUCGGGCUUCCGGGACAACAGCAAGCUAAUGGAAUAACAACCGAUAUUCAAAAGUCAUAAAUCAGGUGUUGACCUAUGGAACUUUAUACCACGCACAUCAUUUACCAAUGUAAGCAAAGCAACACAAUAGGAAAGAGCAAGUGGAAAUAUACGACAGCAUGCUAACCGUAACGCAUUCCCGAUGCUUGCUAUCUACGCCAAGGAUUUGCAAGAGUAGUAUAAUAUCGCAUAAUAGUGAAAUCAUUCCGACGAUAGCGCUCGAAGAUUUUAUAUAGUAGACAUGACGAG